rnacentral:rRNA from 1 species
UCGAUUAGUUUGAUCAUGGCUCAGGAUUAACGCUGGCGGCGUGCAUGAAACAUGCAAGUCGAGCGCGGCGCGUGGCUUCGGUCACGCGUCUAGCGGCGCACGGGUGAGUAACACGUGAGCAACCUACCUUCGAGUUCGGGAUAGCCCUGGGAAACCAGGAUUAAUACCGGAUGUGGUCACAACGGGACAUCCCGAUGUGAAAAAAGGCGCAAGCCGCUCGAUGACGGGCUCGCGGCCUAUUAGCUUGUUGGUGGGGUAACGGCCUACCAAGGCGAUGAUGGGUAGCUGGUCUGAGAGGACGAUCAGCCACACUGGGACUGAGACACGGCCCAGACUCCUACGGGAGGCAGCAGUUAGGAAUUUUCCGCAAUGGGCGCAAGCCUGACGGAGCAACGCCGCGUGUGUGAUGAAGGCCUUCGGGUUGUAAAGCACUGUCGGAGGGGAAGAACAAAUGACGGUACCCUCCAAGAAAGCCCCGGCUAACUACGUGCCAGCAGCCGCGGUAAUACGUAGGGGGCGAGCGUUAUCCGGAUUUACUGGGCGUAAAGCGCGUUAAGGCGGUUGGCAAAGUUGGGGGUGAAAUUUCAGGGCUCAACCCUGAAACUGCCUCCAAUACUGGUCGACUUGAGUGUGAGAGAGGAAGGUGGAAUUCCCGGUGUAGUAGUGAAAUGCGUAGAUAUCGGGAGGAACACCAGUGGCGAAGGCGG